AACGAACGCUGGCGGCGCGCCUAAUACAUGCAAGUCGAGCGAGAAGACGUAGCAAUACGUUUGUAAAGCGGCGAACGGGUGAGGAAUACAUGGGUAACCUACCCUCGAGUGGGGAAUAACUAGCCGAAAGGUUAGCUAAUACCGCGUACGCUCCUUGGACUUCGGUUCAGGGAGGAAAGCGAUACCGUGGGUAUCGCGCUCUUGGUUGGGCUCAUGUCCUAUCAGCUUGUUGGUGAGGAACGGCUCACCAAGGCUUCGACGGGUAGCUGGUCUGAGAGGACGAUCAGCCACACUGGCACUGCGACACGGGCCAGACUCCUACGGGAGGCAGCAGUAAGGAAUAUUGCGCAAU
rnacentral:rRNA from 1 species